AUUGAACGCUGGCGGCAGGCCUAACACAUGCAAGUCGAGCGAGCGGCGGACGGGUGAGUAAUGUAUGGGGAUCUGCCUGAUGGCGGGGGAUAACUACUGGAAACGGUAGCUAAUACCGCAUACCAUCAGAUGAACCCAUAUGGGAUUAGCUUGUAGGUGAGGUAACGGCUCACCUAGGCGACGAUCCCUAGCUGGUCUGAGAGGAUGAUCAGCCACACUGUGACUGAGACACGGCCCAGACUCCUACGGGAGGCAGCAGUGGGGAAUAUUGCACAAUGGGCGCAAGCCUGAUGCAGCCAUGCCGCGUGUAUGAAGAAGGCCUUCGGGUUGUAAAGUUCUUUCAGUAGGGAGGCGUUAACUACAGAAGAAGCACCGGCUAACUACGUGCCAGCAGCCGCGGUAAUAC
rnacentral:rRNA from 1 species